CCUACGGGUGGCAGCAGUGAGGAAUAUUGGUCAAUGGACGAGAGUCUGAACCAGCCAAGUAGCGUGAAGGAUGACUGCCCUAUGGGUUGUAAACUUCUUUUAUAUGGGAAUAAAAUGUUCCACGUGUGGGGUUUUGUAUGUACCAUAUGAAUAAGGAUCGGCUAACUCCGUGCCAGCAGCCGCGGUAAUACGGAGGAUCCGAGCGUUAUCCGGAUUUAUUGGGUUUAAAGGGGGCGUAGGUGGAUUGUUAAGUCAGUUGUGAAAGUUUGCGGCUCAACCGUAAAAUUGCAGUUGAAACUGGUAGUCUUGAGUACAGUAGAGGUGGGCGGAAUGCGUGGUGUAGCGGUGAAAUGCUUAGAUAUCACGAAGAACUCCGAUUGCGAAGGCAGCUCACCGGACUGCAACUGACACUGAGGCUCGAAAGUGUGGGUAUCAAACAGGAUUAGAUACCCCAGUAGUC
rnacentral:rRNA from 1 species